rnacentral:misc_RNA from 1 species
CAAUAUGUUUAUAUAUUAGAAAAAAUUAAAUUUCAAAAUUUUUGUUUCUAUUCAAACCUAAAUUUUUUUUGGCUUUAGCGAUAUUAAAUAUGGCAACUGUUCUGCACAACAAAUAUAGAAAUGUUUUCAAUCUAUUGAAAACCCAUAGUGUGUGGUCCUUAAAAUACCUAAAGCAUUAUACUGAGAAACUUCACGAGAGGGGCAAGGCCAUGGAAAACGUUUACUUCCUGAAAAUACAAUAUGAACAGCUGCGUACGUUAAGACGGGCAAAGCUAGCUAAACGAAGGCAACUUGAUAGGAAUAUCGUGGAGCUAAAUGAUAGGCUAGAGGAAAUUGAGAACGCGCUAAGAGAACGUCGAGUAAAACUUGCUUAGUCAUGUUAUUUUACUAUAGGAUCUAGAGGAAUGCCUGACAAUAUCCACACCAAAAACCUUGACAGAGGCGGACCAAAUGUGAAUUUUUCCACCGAGAAAUGUUCGCAACUACGAUCCCUUAUAUUUUUAGAUAGAGUCAAACCACAAAGACUCGCUCAUGAAUCUGUUGCAAAUAUAAAAGCAACAGAUUCAUGAACGAGUUUGUCCAUGUUGGGUUCUAUUUCGAAACGCCAUUUAAACCUGAGUAGGUGCUUUUGGAAAAUAUAACAAAAAAAAUUCUUCAAUCAAAAUCUGUAUUUCGAAAUAUCGUUCAUGGGAAACUACAGUUUAAGGGCCGCUGUAAAAAUGUUUUGGUACAUAAAUAGCUUCUCUAUAAAAACCAUAAUCCCAGCUAUGGUAGGUCCAUUUAGAACCAGGCAUUACGGCAAUAAAAUUCGUGAAAGGGGCAGAGCAAGUGAAAACGUUCAUUUUCGGAAAAUACAAUACGAACAGUUUCAACGUAUUAUCGAAAAUCAAAGGCAAAUCAGGAAUGAAAUAAAGAAAUUGGCAAAAUGCUGUCGGUUUAUAAGGUGCUCAAGAAGUCCAUAUUUGAUGAUUUACCACACGGAUUUUUGAAUAUCAUGUCUCGAUCUUAUACUAAGGAGAUCUACGAAAGAGCCAGGGCCGUAGAGAAUGUGCACUUUUUGAAAAUUCAAAGGGAGCAGCUGCAAAGGCUGCGCAACAAAAUGAUCAAGGAGCUGAAAAAAACGGAAUAUGAAGGGGAUGUGGACGCCAAUCUGGAGGUGAAAGAAUCACGAGCUGCGAGAACACAGCAAGCAGAUAAUUGAAAUUGUGUUCCUAAAAAAAAUGUAUACGGCAAAAUUAUGGCCAGAACAGCAUUUACAAAACAGUAGGCAAACGUAAAUCUGUUCCAAAUACAGGCUAUUUUGAACAAAACAAAAAUCAAAAUUCCAAAUUCAAUAUUCUACAAUGUGGAGCUGCUUCAGGCCCAGAUGUGUGAUGGAAUGUGUCAUUAGAUGGAGUCUCUCGUUCCCUCAACAGCUGCGCUUGUUAUCAGACAACGAAAAAGCUAAAAUUCUCGAGGCGAAGAACAUGGCCAUGUGGAGGAAACAGAUUAGCGAGUUGGUUCGGAAGCGUGAAAUGCUUGCACUUAUAAGCGAUUACAUUCAGCUACAGGAACGUUAUGUGGAGUCCAGACUGCGAAGCAAUAAAAGGUUGCUAAAUUAUGCAAAAAGAAUUUGGAGCAUGCGCAGAAAAGAGUCGUCUUGAGAUAUAUAGAUAGAUGAAUAAUUGCCUUAGAAAUUUUGAUCUUAAAGUGCUGGUCCUAUGAUUAUAAUAUCUCUUCAUUUUAUUUAAAAUAGUUUGUAUUUCUCAUUUACAAAUGCUUUACAAGAAGCGUUACAUAACAGGCGCCAAUAAAAUGAAAAUGAAAUUC